rnacentral:rRNA from 1 species
CCUACGGGAGGCAGCAGUGGGGAAUAUUGCACAAUGGGGGGAAGCCUGAUGCAGCGACGCCGCGUGAGUGAAGGAGUAUUUCGGUAUGUAAAGCCCUAUCAGCAGGGAAGAACAAUGACGGUACCUGACUAAGAAGCACCGGCUAAAUACGUGACAGAAGCAGCGGUAAUACGUAGGGUGCAAGCGUUAGCCGGAUUUACUGGGUGGAAAGGGAGCGCAGGCAGCGCGUUAAGUCUGGGGUGAAAGCCCGGGGCACAACCGGGGGACUGCAUUGGGAACUGGCGAGCUGGAGUGCCGGAGGGGUAGGCGGAAUUCCUAGUGUAGCGGUGAAAUGCGUAGAUAUCAGGAGGAACACCGGUGGCGAAGGCGGCCUGCUGGACUGCGACUGACGUUGAGGCCCGAAAGCGUGGGGAGCAAACAGGAUUAGAUACCCUGGUAGUC